UAAUAUUUGUCAAGGAUGAAGCACAUUGCACUAUUGUUUCACAAGUGGACAAAGGUGUUCUUACUGUUACAUUUCUACAAAGUAUUGGCUAGCAUAUGCUCUAACAAGACCUAUUGCCACACUGGUAUUUUUGUUUCUUCCUCUAUCCAAGCUCUGUAUCUUUUCCAACCAAGAAUGUUGUAAAAAUUUUCACAACAAAGAAAACAUUAAAAAUUUGAAAGAAUAGAGGCUACAAUUUCAUUUUCCCCAAAAUAUUUAAAAUUUGAUGUCAUUUUCCUUCAUUUUCAUUUUAUUUCGAUUUCUUUCGUAGGCUACUCAGACAAAACAGAAUCGAAUACUCUAAAUGGGAAUUCUAUUUCCAAAACAUUCAUUUCAUCUAGUUUCAUGGCUUUGGUUUUUUUCUUUGUUUUUAGAUCUGAAAACGCUUUUUGUCUAGAUCUGGUUUUCUUUUUCAAAUUCCAUCUCAAAUAAAUCUUGAAAAUUUGUUUAUGGGGUAAUUUUUUUGUUCAAAUCAAGAGUUAGGAGCAGUGGAAGCUUCCAUUUUCAAGGCGUCAAUGACCCUCUAAAUGCACAAUUUCCCCACCAUCAAAUCUACCCACUUUUCUUCUUUGACUUAUUUCCCACACAGUUUCUCUGCACAGACAUUUUCCACUUCAUUCAAGCAUCUUUCAGGUUUAGUUAUUUUUUACCUUGUUCAUUUUCACAUCCAUGUUGGUUUUUAAUUUUUUUCCUGUAAUUUGUAACCAAACCCAUGUAAAAAUUUGGGGGUACUGAGUGGACGAACCUUAAAUUUUUAUGCACUUGGUUGGAAUCUUGAUUAGAUUAUUGUUAUUUGUAGUUUCUUCAUUUUUUUUAAUGAUUGGUACAUUUGCUUCUUUUUUUCUUAUGUCCGAUUUGAUCUUCUCAAUGUUUCUUUUUUAGCUAUUUUAGAAUAUAAUCAAGAUGGGUAACUUAUCUGCUGCCUUUUGUUGUUUCAUUAAGAAAGGAUUUAAGGAAGUCUUUAAGACCUUUUAAAGUAAUAUUAUAUUUUCAAAUGGUUUAUGAGAUCCUUGGAGUGGCAGUAGGUGGUACCUUUGGAAUAGUCGUGUUCAUUAAAUUGUCUAAUUGCCAAAUCAUUAAUUGUAACGAAUGAUACACGAUUGUAGCUCUUGUUACCGAAAAAGGUAAAUCUACCUAACAUUUUCAGAUGUCAGCCCAUCCAGAUGAUAGUGGGUUUAAGGCAACCCUACCUUCCCUUUUGCCACUGGUGGGAUUAAAUCCAUGGAUGGUUAGAAAUCCUACUUUCUUUUUGCCAUUGGUGGGAUUAAAUGCAUGGAUAGUUAGGAUUCUAUGUAUUGAAUCCAAUCGUGUCUGUAACAACUCUUUCAAUUGAAGUUACAUAUUACUGUCAUUAUCAAAUUUGAGUUAUGGAAAAAACAUAGUAAUUUCUGUAUCUGUGAAUCAAUCUGGAGUUGAGAAAGUUGGAUUUUGAUGUAUUAGAGUCAUGAGAUGAAAAACUUGUUGCUUCAUUUUGAUAUUUACUAUUUCUGAUACUCAUUAAGAAAUUUGGGAAAUGAAAUAAAUUUGAAAACUCAAUCUUUGGCUUCUUCUAAAGCUGCACGGUUUAAUUUAAUUCUUUGUUAAAGCUCAACAAACAGUUUUUGUCUUUGUUCUUUUGAAAGAAACUUGAGAAAUUCUAAAUCUUUAUUUUCUUUUCUACAUGCUUUUUAUGUUCACUUUGUCUCAUUUUAGAACGUCUACAUUUACACCUCUUUUAUGCUGGAAAGGAUAUAGAUACUUUAAAAGCUACUCAGGACUUUUGCAACAGUAUUGAACAAAAUAAUCGUAGGUAAAAUUUGUGGACUUGAUGCUACUCCUGGAUAAUGCAAUUAAUUAGUUAUUGCUGCAGUCACCCUAUUAUAGACCUCAUUGUUUGUACAUGGGAGAACUUGGACUUUUAUUUCUCCACAUUUUAAAUAGCCCAAGUUAUAUAUUUGUUUUAUUACAGUAUUUAUUUCAUUUAAAAUUACACAUUCAAUUAUAUCUUGACCACAAAUUUUCUUUCAUUAGAUAUUCCAAAUUUGCCAACUGUCAUUGCUUCUUUAUACUUCACACUUACUAAAAACAAAUAUUUGCUUCACUACAAACCACUAAUUUUACUAAAAGAACACCUGUCCCUUGUAAAAAAUCACUUAAGCACCACCUGGCAACCCACUUCCCACAGCCAUUCCCUAAAAUUUUUUGUUUAUAAUAGUAAACAAAAAUUCUUGCCUGCCACUACACAUUUUCCAGUCUGUAUUCAAAAUAGAAAUCUAACUUUCACACCAAACUUUCAUCAUUUAAGACACGAAAGAAAAUCUUCACAUGGUUUGUCUUCUCCAACUUCAUUUGCUCAUUUCUAACUUCAUCCUGGUAAUUUCGUUUCUUUCACCCAACAGUAUACAUUAACAGCAAACAAUUUCAAAAACAUCAUUCCAUAUAUCUUUCAAUAUCUAUGUUUCAUUUUAACUCUUCUAUUUCUAACCAUUCUCAUCUACUAAUCAAAUAGAAUUCAUUGCAGAUAGAAAUGGCAACAUAACACAAACGCAUACCUGACAUCAAACCUGGAGAGUCUGGCUGGAUUGUAGAAGCAGUAGUUUCAGAAAAAUGCUCUCUCAACAAAGCUCGGAAUAGUCCAUUGAAAUACCAACACAUUUGGUUAAUGGAUCCCAAGGUAAAUCUUCUCACAUAGUUUAAGUUCCUUUAUUUGAAACUUUGAUCCACAAUAAAUCAAAAUCAUUAACUUUAAACAUCUGUUUAUCAAUUUUUUAAUCUAAAUUAAGAGCACAUAAUGUCCUCUCAAACUCUUUCUUCAUUUGAAAACGAGAUUGCUAGAUUUAAUUCAUUCAAGUUGUAAUAUUUUUAAGUCUCAAAUGUAGCAACUUCCAGAAUAUAUAAAUGAAAACAUGUAUAAAAUUGGAUUCUAAACAUGUAGAUAUACCCUUCUUUUGAAAGAGGAACACCACUUCAAUAUCGUUAAUGUAUUUUAUAUCCAAAUCUAUUGUUCUUGUGCAUUAUAUGCUCAAAUGGUAAACUUAAUUUUCCUUGUCCAAACUUGUCAAAUUUCUGCCUCACCUAACAGUAAUUGACAGUCAUCCAUUGCCUUGAGCAGAACCUGGUCUGGGUUCGAGCCCUAGCAUCUCUCAAUUCAGAUUCUACAACAUCUCUAUUUGCCAUACUUGAUUUUGUUCAUUAUACAUAUUAACAUGUAAGGGCUCUGGUUUUUACUUCAUAUUACCACCGCCAAUGUAAGUACCUGUGAACACAUAUUUUAUAUAAUUCAAUGUAAUCAUCCUUCAAAUAAGUUUCAUUUUUUGUUGAAGUACCACAACCGAAUUUCAACAUUAUUUCUUACACUACAUCACCCACUAAUGCGUUGCACGUGCAUUCACUAGUAGUAAAUAUAAAAGAGUACAUAUGGCUAAUGUUCAUAAGCUGAAUGGCCAUGUAGGCCUAGACGCUUUGGAAUGAGCCGUGAUAGCCGAGUUGUGUGUAAGUGGGUUGGUUUAAAAAUUUGAUUUUCCUUUUGUUUGUGUGGUUAACUCUCUCUUUUCAUUCAUUUUCCUCGUUUCCACACGCAAUCUCAAUAUCUCUCUUCAUACUUUCAUACAUGUUUUCAUUUUCUCUGCAGCUGUUCUUUUGCCACCAAAAUCACUAUCUUUUAAUCAUAUCUUCUCUUGCACUAUUGGUACGUUGAUAGAUAUUAUCUGUGGCGAACCCUAAAUCUUUAUUCUUCUUCAUUUCUUCUACUAUCCAAAAUCAUCUCUUCUCUUACACUAUUGGUACGUUGACGAUGUCGUUUUUCUUCUUUUACAUCUUUGAAAAUCCAAAUCCGCUUAUUGAAUGUAGAUUUUGCUGAUCUGAUCUAUGUGUAUCAACUAAAGAUCAGCUCAGGACAGAAAGAUAAACACAUCGGUCUAAAUGUUCCCUCCCUUCCACAUGUUACCACGCACACAUUUUUUUAUUUUUUUAUUUUUAUAUGUAAGAUUUUUUGGGAAGAACAAUGAAAAUGGUCUUUGAUUAUACUGAUUAGAGGUUUUUAGUCAUAUGGGUUUUGAUAAUCAAUAGAUUCAAGGAAAUGGGUAUUUGAUAAAUUUGGAAAAUUUUGAUGUACGAGUCUUUGAUUUUGUUAUUUGAUUCUGAUUUGUUUAUUGCUAAAAUCUAGAAAACUUGAUAUCUUGCUUCUAUACAUAUAAAGAUUGAACUUCUCUAACAAGAAUUAUGUUCUAUUUUUGCGUAAUCGAAAUAUUGCAACUUUUGGUAAUUAAUCAAUCAAUCUUAUUGAAUAUCAUGUUAUUUGUUUCCUAUCAUACGAGAAUCCGGAAAAGAUCCUUUUUAUUACACGUGUUCUCCUUUUCUUUGGUGUAAAUAACUUGAUGAAUAUUGUGUGUUUACUUGUUCAUGCGAUUUAAUUGGUUCUUAUAUUUUCCUCUGGAAUGUGUGAUAAUCUUUCUUUGAAGAGGAUCGAAGGGUCGAACUUUUGAUAAUUCUUUAUAACGAAGAAUCACAAGUGUUGGCUAAUCUUGCCUUAGCAAGUAUGACACACAAGUAUGCUCAUCAAUACUAUUGGUGUUUCCAUUUGAUUCAAUGACUAUAAAAUAUUUUGUUGUUUGUUUGGUUUUACUUCUUUUUUUUUUCUACUUAUUAAGCUCCCAUUUGGCCCACAUUAAUUUUCAUUUCAUUACAUUUCAUUUUUCUCUUUCUUAUUUUCAGCUACACAAUCUUUCAUAAAAUAAUAUUACACGUAAAUCAAAAUUUUUUUCCUUCUUUUUCAACCACUAAUUUUUCAAAAAAAUACUAUUCCACCCAUUAAUUUCCUACAAAAUGGGGGCCAAAUGGAGGCUAAGGCUGACACCCACACUUGUUAAAUAAAUUUAAAUAAUUGUUUCUCACACCCAGAGUAUUUCAAAACAACUUAGUUUUAUUCCUCUUUUUUACUUUGUGCUUUUCCUUUUGCUUGAUAUACAUUUCUCAUAUCUACUACCGAAUUGUGCAAAAAUGCUACAAUACGAAAUUAUUUAUGUUCAUUCAUUUUACUCAAAAUAGUGUUAUACUCUAAUGUAGGGCCCAUAACGGUUCUAUUUCUCAUUCUUAUUUUCAUUAUAAUGUGGUUCAAACGGGCUCUAAAGAGUUACGUGACUUUACAUUUUGAUGAAUCAAUCAUUUAAGGCCAUGCAAUUACAACUUAGCCCUUGUUUGAUAUCCUUAAAUGUUUAAAAACAUUGUUUUGAAUAGUAUUUUUUAAUGUGUGGUUAAAAUGUAGAAAAAUUUUUAAAUUUAUAUGUGGAAUAUUUUAUUAUAUGAAUGUAUGAUUGAAAAUGAGUAUGAGAAAUAAAUUAAAGAAUGCCAAUCACGGGCUUAGAUUAGUGUUUAACACUGAUUGUGAUGAAUAUCAUUGUUCUUUCUAAAACGAAGUAAUCAAACGAAGAGGAUGGGGCCAAAAUCAUCCCUCCUAAUAAUUUUCGAGAUGGAAUGUGAAAGAGUUUUGAGGCAAGACAGGAAUUGAAAAAUCUCUAUUACUGUUUCAUUUACUUAAUUUUGUAUCUUAAUGUAACUUUUUAUUCUUUCAAAUACGAUUUAAAUUUGAACGAUAUGAAUAGAUAAAUCAAGGCUAGUUUUGAUAAUUUGGGAUAGGAGCCAUGUUCCCCAUCCAGCAUGCCCUGCUUACAAUUCAAGGCGGGACAAUUCAGUUCUGGUUGAAGGCAAAAAAAUUUGGUCAUUCUAGCCAAAGAGUCAUUUCAAAAUUGGUUUACUUUUAUUUUAGGAUGUUCUUCAUGAGGUACUUGAACGAAG
rnacentral:lncRNA from 1 species